rnacentral:rRNA from 1 species
CCAGCGAUUAGCCUGAGUUCCUUAAAUGACUCGGCUAGCAGCUUCCGGGAAACCAAAGUGUUUCGGUUCCGGGGGAAGUAUGGUUGCAAAGCUGAAACUUAAAGGAAUUGACGGAAGGGCACCACCAGGAGUGGAGCCUGCGGCUUAAUUUGACUCAACACGGGAAAACUUACCCGGCCCGGACACUGGAAGGAUUGACAGAUUGAGAGCUCUUUCUUGAUUCAGUGGGUGGUGGUGCAUGGCCGUUCUUAGUUGGUGGAGCGAUUUGUCUGGUUAAUUCCGAUAACGAAUGAGACUCUAGCCUACUAAAUAGACUGUUCAGCUUUAUAGCCGGAAUCACCGGGCGCGUAGCUCCUCACGGGGUUGCGCGUUCGGCUCUGGUGACGUUGACAGUGCUUCUUAGAGGGACAGGCGGCGGUUCAGCCGCACGAAACAGAGCAAUAACAGGUCUGUGAUGCCCUUAGAUGUCCGGGGCUGCACGCGCGCUACACUGAAGUGAUCAGCGUGCAAUUUACGUUUGGUGAUCUGUCAAGAUUGCCCAACCCGUUGAACCUUCUUCGUGAUUGGGAUAGGGGAUUGUAAUUAUUCCCCUUGAACGAGGAAUUCCCAGUAAGCGCCAGUCAUAAGCUAGCGUUGAUUACG